rnacentral:rRNA from 1 species
AGGGUGUAAACGCUGCAGACUUGGUGUUGGAGGCCCUUUGGGGGCAUUCAGUGCCGGAGAGAAGUUGUUAAGUCUGCUACUUGGGGAGUACGUCCGCAAGGAUGAAACUUAAAGGAAUUGGCGGAGGAGCACCGCAACGGGAGGAGCGUGCGGUUUAAUUGGAUUCAACACCGUAAAACUCACCAGGGAAGACUGUUACAUGAAGGCCGAGCUAAAGACUCUGCUAGAUUUUCAGAGAGGUGGUGCAUGGCGUCAGUGACU